rnacentral:rRNA from 1 species
AUAUUGCACAAUGGGCGCAAGCCUGAUGCAGCCAUGCCGCGCGUAUGAAGAAGGCCUUAGUGUUGUAAAGUACUUUCAGCGGGGAGGAAGGUGAUAAGGUUAAUACCCUUGUCAAUUGACGUUACCCGCAGAAGAAGCACCGGCUAACUCCGUGCCAGCAGCCGCGGUAAUACGGAGGGUGCAAGCGUUAAUCGGAAUUACUGGGCGUAAAGCGCACGCAGGCGGUCAAUUAAGUCAGAUGUGAAAGCCCCGAGCUUAACUUGGGAAUUGCAUCUGAAACUGGUUGGCUAGAGUCUUGUAGAGGGGGGUAGAAUUCCAUGUGUAGCGGUGAAAUGCGUAGAGAUGUGGAGGAAUACCGGUGGCGAAGGCGGCCCCCUGGACAAAGACUGACGCUCAGGUGCGAAAGCGUGGGGAGCGAACAG